CCUACGGGAGGCAGCAGUGGGGAAUUUUGGACAAUGGGGGCAACCCUGAUCCAGCCAUGCCGCGUGCGGGAAGAAGGCCUUCGGGUUGUAAACCGCUUUUGUCAGGGAAGAAAUCCUUUGAACUAAUACUUCGGAGGGAUGACGGUACCUGAAGAAUAAGCACCGGCUAACUACGUGCCAGCAGCCGCGGUAAUACGUAGGGUGCAAGCGUUAAUCGGAAUUACUGGGCGUAAAGCGUGCGCAGGCGGUUAUGCAAGACAGAUGUGAAAUCCCCGGGCUCAACCUGGGAACUGCAUUUGUGACUGCAUAGCUAGAGUACGGUAGAGGGGGAUGGAAUUCCACGUGUAGCAGUGAAAUGCGUAGAUAUGUGGAGGAACACCGAUGGCGAAGGCAAUCCCCUGGACCUGUACUGACGCUCAUGCACGAAAGCGUGGGGAGCAAACAGGAUUAGAUACCCUGGUAGUCCACGCCCUAAACGAUGUCAACUGGUUGUUGGGAGGGUUUCUUCUCAGUAACGUAGCUAACGCGUGAAGUUGACCGCCUGGGGAGUACGGCCGCAAGGUUGAAACUCAAGGAAUUGACGG
rnacentral:rRNA from 1 species